UACAGAGGGGGCGAGCGUUGUUCGGAAUUACUGGGCGUAAAGGGCGCGUAGGCGGCCUUCUAAGUCGAACGUGAAAUCCCUGGGCUCAACCCAGGAACUGCGUCCGAUACUGGUUGGCUUGAAUCCGGGAGAGGGAUGUGGAAUUCCAGGUGUAGCGGUGAAAUGCGUAGAUAUCUGGAGGAACACCGGUGGCGAAGGCGACAUCCUGGACCGGUAUUGACGCUGAGGCGCGAAAGCCAGGGGAGCAAACGGG
rnacentral:rRNA from 1 species